GACGAACGCUGGCGGCGUGCUUAACACAUGCAAGUCGAACGGAAAGGCCCUGCUUUUGUUGGGUGCUCGAGUGGCGAACGGGUGAGUAACACGUGAGUAACCUGCCCUUGACUUUGUGACAUCUUCAGGAAACUGGGGCUAAUACCGGAUAGCAGCUCCUGCUGCAUGGUGGGGGUUGGAAAGUUUCGUCGGUGGGGGAUGGACUCGCGGCUUAACAGUUUGUUGGUGGGAUAGUGGCAUAGCGAGGCUUUGACGGAUAGCCGGCACGAGAGGGUGACCGGGGACAUGAGGCCUGGGAGACGGACCAGACUGCUACGGUAGACAGCAGGGGGGAGUAUUACCCAGUAAGCGGACGCCAGAGGAGGCGGCGCCCGGGGCGGGAAGACAGCCUGUGGGUUGAGAACCGCUUUCGCCUGUGAUGAAGCGUGAGUGACGGUAAUGGGUAAAGAAGCACCGGCUAACUACGUG
rnacentral:rRNA from 1 species